UACGUAGGGUGCAGGCGUAAUCGGAAUUACUGGGCGUAAAGGGCGCGUAGGCUGUGCUGUAAGUCAGGCGUGAAAGCCCCGGGCUCAACCUGGGAAUUGCGCUUGAUACUGCGGCGCUGGAAGGUGGGAGAGGAUGGCGGAAUUCCCAGUGUAGAGGUGAAAUCGUAGAUAUUGGGAAGAACACCGGUGGCGAAGGCGGCAUCUGGCCCAUU
rnacentral:rRNA from 1 species